UAAAAAGCUGCGCUGUCCCUUUUUCUACCAAACCGGAAGUACUUUACUGGUCACCCAAGACCAAGAUCACCGAAGAAGCAGCAGCAGUGGAAAGAUGGCUCACAGGCUGCUGGUGCGCAGGUUUUGGACACUCUCCUCAAAAGAUCUCCGCUGCCUCCCGGUGUCCGUAUCCUCCUCCUCUUCGUUCUCCACCUCGCUGCAGUCGGCCAGAGUCCCCGUCCUCUCUCGCUCCCGCUCCCUGCCUCGCUCCCUCACCCACGCCUCCCCCCGCCGGGCAGUCUCCUUCAACGUCCAGGAUCAUGAUGACUUCGACGACCGGGUCAUCAAGAGCGAGCUGCCGGUGCUAGUGGACUUCCACGCCCAGUGGUGCGGCCCCUGUAAGAUCCUCGGCCCCAGGCUGGAGAAAGCUGUGGCGAAACAGAAAGGCCGCGUCGCCAUGGCAAAGGUCGACAUCGACGACCACACAGACCUAGCUAUCGAAUACGGGGUGUCUGCCGUCCCGACAGUAAUCGCCAUCCGGGGCGGGGACGUGGUCGAUCACUUCGUGGGGAUCAAAGACGACGACGAGCUGGAGUCAUUCGUCAGCAAGAUCAUCGGGAAAUGAACCAGCUGCCACACCCCCCCUCCCUCCCUCCGUCAGAUCUCCCACUCAACAGCACCAUGCGGUCCGGGCCGGGAUUAGAUCAUCGCAGUAGCAACCAGGGGAAGAGAGGCUGGGGGAAUUCCACUGGCAUUGCAUAAUCAGGUGAUCCAGAUGUACCAUUGUGUUCGGGAUGAAAGACAUUCCUGCAUAGUUUUCAGAUGUCUGGGACUGCAUGACGGCACCUUUUGUUAUUAAGGAUCUGUGUUUUAACCUCUUACUGCCUCCUUAUUGUCUGCUUUACUAUCAGCAGCGGUGGGAGCAGUGCCAAGAGCCUUCCAAAGUAAAAGUAUAGUUCACCAGCAAAAUGUAAAUAAAGUAAAAGUAUUCAUCCCUCGAAAUUACAAUGAACAUUUAGAAAAUGGAGAAGAUAACAGCAUAUGUUAAUCAUAAAUUGGAACAACUUGCUUCACACUGGGAAACAUGGAUUAAGUGCAUGACGCCCCAUAGACCUGAUUUUAUUCAGGAAGACAAGAUCACUCCCUACCUGUUCAUAGUUUUUGUCUCCUGAUGGUUUUGUUUUUUCCUUUUAAAUGUGUGUCUCUUUUAUAAAAACGGUUCUGACAUUUGUGGCAAACAUGGAUGAAUGGGGUACUGUAUCUUGUAUUGUUUUGCACUGUGUAUGUUGAGUUGUUGGAGGAGCAUGGGAUAUAAGAUUUUCAUUGCCAACAUAUAUGCUGUAUCUGCUGUGCAUAUGACCAAUAAAACCUUUGAACCUUCAA